UGCAUAUGGGUAUUUUAAAAACUUGUGCAACAAUUCGAACUCAUCCGUGGUAUCGAAGUAACGACUCUAAAGACCAACAUAGUUGUAACUAAAAGCUACAAAACGUUAAAAGACGUGGAGUGCGAUGUAAAAACGAUUCUACUGAUAUUCAAGGAAAUACUUAAGUAUAAUAAACCUCCCGCCAGAAAUAUAAAUGGGAAGGUUGUUUCUGAAAUAAAGGGGGCAUCUAACGAAAAGCAUUUAUCAAAUGAAAUUAUACAGGCAAUCCGUAGUAGAAAAUUUAAUCCUGAUCAAGCAGCUAAAGAUGAUAGUGACAAUGUCCUUAUUGAGGUAAUAAAAGCUGUUGAAACGGGUAAGAGCAUUUACUAAUUUAGAUAUAAAAUUGUUUAUAUCUAAAAAAUUAACAAAUGAUUUAGUUAUAAAUUAUCUACAAAAUUAUUUGUAUUCGUGUAUGAUUUAUAUUUACAUUUGUCCUCUUAGACGGAGAUGAAAUUAGUAAUGUACGCACCGGUAGCAUAAUCAUUAAGAUCCUAUGCCCGUCCUUGACCAACUGGAUAAACUUGUCCGAGAAAUGCAUUGAUGGCAGGGUGACACAGCGGUUCAAACCGUUACAAGAUCACUUGAGAAAAAGCACAAGCUUGGGAAAUCUAACAAUAACGGUCGACAUGUUGGAAACAGAUUUUAUUAAAUCAGUCGACACGCUUGUGAAGCAGUUAUAUCCAUACAUGAUUGCUUCCUUACCUCACAACAUGGAAAUGGACCACCCAGAUGAAAUCGAAAACACAAGUGUACAGCAUAUGAAUGCCAUGUUAACAUGUCUGCUGGAAAAAUCCCAUCAAAAAAACAACCAUCAAAGAGAUGGACGAAGAGAAGGAGAAACUCUUGCAAAAUUAUAGGGAAAAGAUGCACGAAUGCGUGAAAAAAUUCAAACAAUCAAGACGUGAUGUUGCGCAUCUGUCCCCAAGUUAUGAAGGUCGCAUAGCCAGACCCAAACUUAAAACAUUUCAACAUGACGAUAAGGUACGUGUCAUUACGAAUAUCAGGGAUGAGGAAUCCGUGAACGUCACAGGGUUGAGUGAUAAAUUUGAUGGAAUUCGUCUUGAGAGCAAUCGGUUUGAGCAGGAUUGGAUCAAGAUAAAACAUGAUGGAGUUACAGAACAAUGUAACGUUCUAGACACAAAAGCGGAAUUACCACAUGCAUCUGAUACUGAGGUAGAAACAAGGAGGAGAUAUCUGCCUAAUGUUAAGAUGAAACUCUACGAAAAACAUAACCCAAAACAGGAACUUGCUGUUGAAAGCACUAUUUCAGCUGGCGCUUCUGAGAGCAAUAGCGACUUAGUGCAUACAAGUUGAGUUUGUGUUUGGUAAAAUAAUUGUUGUUGAAUUCGAAACUUUAUAUGUUGAUGGCAUGACGAAAAUGGGAUCAUAUUGCUACGCGUCUUCACACAAUCCCACUAUUGUCAUUGAACAAGUGUGUUAUCAUCAUCAUUAUACAAGCGAGCAAUCGGACCUUGACAUCUUAUUGUCGUGUCAUCCUGCUAGCCAUCGUGGUUAUGAUAUACUUUCAAAUCAGGAUAUCUUUAACGAUGACCGCAUGAUUUUUUUUUAUUUCUAUGAAUAAACCAUUUUUAAU